UACGGAGGGUGCAAACGUUGCUCGGAAUUACUGGGCGUAAAGGGCGCGUAGGCGGACAGUUUAGUCAGAGGUGAAAGCCCAGGGCUCAACCUUGGAAUUGCCUUUGAUACUGGCUGUCUUGAGUUCGGGAGAGGUGAGUGGAAUGCCGAGUGUAGAGGUGAAAUUCGUAGAUAUUCGGCGGAACACCAGUGGCGAAGGCGACUCACUGGCCCGAUACUGACGCUGAGGCGCGAAAGCGUGGGGAGCAAACAGG
rnacentral:rRNA from 1 species